UACGAAGGGGGCAAGCGUUGUUCGGAAUUACUGGGCGUAAAGCGCACGUAGGCGGACUAUUAAGUCAGGGGUGAAAUCCCGGGGCUCAACCCCGGAACUGCCUUUGAUACUGGUAGUCUCGAGUCCGGAAGAGGUGAGUGGAAUUCCGAGUGUAGAGGUGAAAUUCGUAGAUAUUCGGAGGAACACCAGUGGCGAAGGCGGCUCACUGGUCCGGUACUGACGCUGAGGUGCGAAAGCGUGGGGAGCAAACAGG
rnacentral:rRNA from 1 species